rnacentral:lncRNA from 12 species
AUGACUCCAGAAAACCUCCACUCUUCUGCUCAUCUGCCCAAAAUGGAACAAAGAAGGGGGCCUCGGAAACACAGUGACAGAGUAGAGGUAGGUUUGUGGAUGGCCCUGGCUUGGCAAAGAGCUGUGGUGGAGGAGGUCAGGCUGAGUUGUUUGACAAACAUUGGCUUCAUGAUGUGCAUGUCAAAAAUAUCAUUUUCAUCAUCAUCAAUAAUAAUAGUAAGUCCUGAUGGAUGGCUAAAUAAAUGGAUAACUGAAAGAGCAAAAAUAGUAAAAUGCUUAUUGUAGCAUCUAGGUGAUGAGUGUAUGGUAAUGCACUAUAAGAUUCUUUCAAUUUUUUUCUUCUUUCUUUGUAUUGGCAUAUUACUUUUUUACAUGAACAGAUCUAUGAAUCAUUACAUUUCAUGUUCCUAUGACCCAGGCCAUCAAUUAGAACAUUGCUCGCACCCAGAGGCUACUAUCAGGUCCCUUUCAAUGACCACCUUCUUGUUCCUUCCUAGAGUUAACUUUCUGACACUAUAUAUGUCUAUAAUUUAGUUUUUUCUACUUCAGUUUUAUAGAUAGCAAAGCACAAAAUAUGUCUUUUUUCAUGUCUGGUUUCUCUGGCUCAAUAUUAUAUUUGCAAGAUUUGUCCAUAUUUUGUAUGUAGCUGAAGGUUAUUCAUUUUUGCUUCUAGAUAAUAUUUAUCUUAAGAAUAUGUCAUUCUACUAAAGGGCAUUCAGAUUGUUCUCAUUCUUUAGUGUCUAUAGAUAGUAUUGCUAGGAACAGUCUUGCAUAUGUCUAUUGGGGAACAUGUGCAUGAAAUUCUGUUGAGUUAUAGUCAGGAAUGAAUUGGUAGUCACAAGGUCUACAUAGAUUUAACUUUUGUAAAUAAUGCCAGUUUUCCAAAGUUGUUGUACCAGCUUACACUCCCAGAAGCAGUAUACAAGAUUUCCAGUUGCUUCACAUCUAUUCCCAUGUUUGUUUUUAUUGGUCUUUUAAAUAUUAGCCCUUUUGGUAGCUAUAUCACAGUAUUCAACUUUUCUUAAGUUUGAAAAUUGUCAUAAUAAAAUGUUGGAAAAUUAUAAUCA